rnacentral:rRNA from 1 species
GUUGAACGCUGGCGGCGUGCUUAACACAUGCAAGUCGAUCGGUAACAGGUGUAGCAAUACAUGCUGACGAGAGGCGGACGGGUGAGGAAUAUUUGGGAAUCUGCCCAUCAGCGGGGGACAACCCGGGGAAACCCGGGCUAAUACCGCAUACGCUCUACGGAGGAAAGCCGGGGACCGCAAGGCCUGGCACUGAUGGAUGAGCCCAAAUCGGAUUAGCUAGUUGGCGGGGUAACGGCCCACCAAGGCGACGAUCCGUAGCUGGUCUGAGAGGACGAUCAGCCACACCGGAACUGAGACACGGUCCGGACUCCUACGGGAGGCAGCAGUGGGGAAUAUUGGACAAUGGGGGAAACCCUGAUCCAGCGACGCCGCGUGGGUGAAGAAGGCCUGCGGGUUGUAAAGCCCUUUCGGUAGGGACGAAAGCUCUUGCUCUAACAAGGCAGGAGGUUGACUUAACCUACAUAAGAAGCACCGGCUAACUCUGUGCCAGCAGCCGCAGUAA